rnacentral:sRNA from 1 species
GCCCUCAGCUUGUUAUUGUUCCUUAC